UACGGGGGGGGCAAGCGUUGUUCGGAAUUACUGGGCGUAAAGGGCGCGUAGGCGGCGUAACAAGUCACUUGUGAAAUCUCCGGGGCUUAACUCGGAGCGGUCAAGUGAUACUGUUGUGCUAGAGUGCGGAAGGGGCUACUGGAAUUCUCGGUGUAGCGGUGAAAUGCGUAGAUAUCGAGAGGAACACCUGCGGCGAAGCGGGUAGCUGGGCCGACACUGACGCUGAAGCGCGAAAGCUAGGGGAGCGAACGGG
rnacentral:rRNA from 1 species